rnacentral:pre_miRNA from 1 species
AGGAGGAACAACCGCAGUGGCGGUGGCCAGCUCUGGAGCCCUGGAGUCAGCCCCCGCAGUAACUACGGAGCUCUCCGUCUGCAGGGCCUGGAGGCUCCGGGGCGGG